GCACAGAUCGAGUCUAAUUCACGACACGAAUCUAUUAAGCCUAAUUAGUCCAUGUUUUGACAAUGUGGUGCUACAGUAACCAUUUGUUAAUGAUGGAUUAAUUAGGCUUAAUAGAUUCAUCUCGCGAAUUAGCACAGGGUUCUGCAAUUAGUUUUAUAAUUAGCUCAUGUUUAGUCCUCCUAAUUAGCAUUUGAACAUCCGAUGUGACACUGCUAAAGUUUAGCACCUAGUAUCCAAA
rnacentral:lncRNA from 1 species